GCCCCGAUAGCUCAACGGACAGAGCAUCGGUCUACGAAUCCGAAGGUUCCAGGUUCGAAUCCUGUCGGGGCA
rnacentral:tRNA from 1 species